UGUGUGUGUGUGUGUGUGUGUGAAUUAUGUCAUCCAAACCAAACUUUUAGUUCGUUUUUGUACAUUUUGUGUUUAGGUCAUUUUCAGGUCAGGACUAUGUUUAUAAAUUCCAAAAAUAGCAAAAAGGUGAUUUAAAAUAUACCGUUUUAUAUACAUAAGGUAAGGAUAAAAAUUACUGCUGAAUCAGGUGCAUUUAAUUUCAUUCAUUCUCUUACAGUGCGGGUGGAAUUAUCCCAACUGUGGCCCAACAUUUCUUCUACUUGGCAAACACUGGAUGUAGCAGCCGAGACACUUUAGAUAAGGUGUUGAAAAAGGACAGUUAUUAUCAUGUGUUAAAGCCUCACAACACACUGUGGCGUCUCAUAGCCAAACAAACACAUCGUGCCCUUUUGUUCUGUAAAUCCAAAGGUCUUCUACCACAGCAUAAUCCAACUCUGGUAAAUUCUCAGCACUCCAGGACCUGGUUGUGGCAUUUCAUUUUAAAAUUAACUCGAGCUUGGCUUAAUCCUUUCACGAUAUUUAAAAACUUCAACCAAUAAAUGCCUGUGGUGAACUGACAUUUGGUAGAAAUUUCACUCCAGACUUUUUAUCCCAACCAAAAAUCUACUCUCCCACUUGUUUCCGGAGGAGCAGCAAGUAAUGAAUACAUCAGACAGACUUUAAAAAUUGUCACAGAUGCCACUGGAUUGCAUCUGCUUUGCCCUCCAACAAAAUUUUGCACUGAUAAUGGAGUGAUGAUUGCGUGGAAUGGCAUAGAGAGACUAAAGCAAAGAAAGGGGAUCAUGUCCUAUACCGAAAAGGUCAACUAUGAACCUACUGGACCACUUGAAUUAGACAUCACUUCAGAAGUUAAAGAUGCUGCAAUCAGACUUCCCCCAUUAAAACUUAGUAUAAACUCUUGACAUGCUGUUGAAAGGAC